UGGGGAAUAUUGCACAAUGGACGGAAGUUUGAUGCAGCGACGCCGCGUGGAGGGUGUAGGCCUUCGGGUUGUGAACUCCUUUUUCUCGCGAAAAAGGCACAGUUUUGGCUGUGUUGAUGGUAGUGGGGGAAGAAGCGCCGGCUAACUACGUGCCAGCAGCCGCGGUAAUACGUAGGGGGCAAGCGUUGUCCGGAAUCACUGGGCGUAAAGGGUUCGCAGGCGGAAAUGCAAGUCAGUUGUGAAAGGCAGAGGCUCAACCUCUGUAAGCAAUUGAAACUGUAUUUCUUGAGAUGUGGAGAGGCAAGUGGAAUUCCUAGUGUAGCGGUGAAAUGCGUAGAUAUUAGGAAGAAUACCGGUGGCGAAGGCGACUUGCUGGACACAAACUGACGCUGAGGAACGAAAGCGUGGGUAGCAAACAGG
rnacentral:rRNA from 1 species